AAGUGGUAGUCGAAAUACGCGUAUCUGUCAAAGGAUAUGCAACAUAGGGCGGAAUUAAGAGGUACGAAACUGGUCAUUUGGGAUGUUACAGAUCAACCCAACUUUUUCGAGAAGCAGAACUUCAAAUCUACACUCGUAACAGUAGUCAAAUACGCCCCGGGCAGAGGUCAAGUACUGACGAUCAAAAUGUGAUAUUGGUUUGUUUGAGAUAAGAGGUAAAAGUACUGAAAAUAAUAGCAAAAAUUUGUUCUUGGACCAUCUAACCAAUAGCAAAAUUUGAUAUUUGAAUAUCAAUCAAAUAGCUCACUGCUAUUGGUUAGAUCUUACCAAGAGCUAAAUCUGCUAUGAUGAUGAUGUUCCAGGAGUAAAAUUCAGAUAUUGUUUUCAGUACUUUUACCUCUUAUCUCAAACAAACCAAUAUCACUUUUUGAUCUCCGUAUCAAAAUAUGCUAUUAUUGAGCUUUUUUCCUCUGCUCGGGGCUAUACAGAGUAACGUUGCCUAUUCAACUAGAUAUUCCUGGAGAUAUGGUGUGCCAGCAACCUGAUCCGUCCCUUGGCAAUGUGUUAAACGAAUCUUUACAACAGCGUACAUUUCCAUCUGACUGGAAAAAUUCAGUAAUGUUCCCAGUGUUCAAGAAAGGCGACAAACAGAACGUAGAAAAUUAUCGAGGAAUUACAUCAUUAUGCGCUUGGUCCAAGAUCUUCAAGAUCAUCAUCUACGAGCUACUGUUCCCGUGCUGUAAACACUUUAUCUCUGCUGAUCAACAUGGGUUUUAUCCUAAACGGUCAGUGUCCACAAACCUUUUGCAUUUUACCUCCUUCUGUAUUCGAAAAAUUGUUGCAGAAUCUCAAAUUGAUUCCAUAUACACCGACCUCAAAUCAACGUUUGAUUGUGUUGAUCACAAUAUAUUACUGAGUAAGCUGCUAAAGCUGGGAGUUGCCUCUAAUCUCAUCGAGUGGUUCAAGUCAUAUCUGACUAACCGAAAACUGAGCGUUAGAAUUGGUAAUGAGUCGUCGGAACGUUUCUCCAAUACGUCUGGCGUUCCCCAAGGAAGCAACUUAGGUCCAUUGCUGUUUUCAAUCUUUAUCAACGAACUGUCAAGACUACUACCACCUGACACUUAGCUUUGCAAAAUGCAGCGUCAUCACAUUUCACCGAAAGUUAAGGACAAACUUCUUGAAAUCCCGCUUCAACAGUGCAUCAGAACUUCAGACGCACAAAUCUCAAGAAGCAAGCUUCAAACAACAGUGAAUUUCAUUAUUCUGUUCUUGCUCACUUGUAAUAAACUUAAAAUAAGAAGAUUAGGUGUGCUGGUUUUGUUUAUGAAGAGAUUUAUGCCCUCGAAAUCGUGAGUAGGUGCCAAAGUCGGCCAUUGUGGCGGCCAUUUUGGGAUUCUAACAAGUCUGUCCUUAAGGCCUAUUGUUUAUAACUACACCAUCUCUAACCAGCGACUGGAGCGUGUUGAUCAUAUUCGCGACUUAGGUGUCAUCCUCGAUCCAGCUUUUUCUUAUCGACUACACUAUGAGAACAUAAUUUCCAAGGCCAACAGACAGCUGGGGUUCCUCUUUUAACUUACCAGCGAGUUGCAUGACCCUCUGUGUCUUCGGGCAUUGUAUUGUGCACUAGUUCGCUCUAUACUGGAGUCGUGCUCUGUCGUAUGGUGCCCAUACCAAGCGAACUGGAUUUCGAGAAUGGAAGCUAAUCAAAAAGUUUGUCAGGGUGGCUCUGCGAACUCUUCCCUGGCGUGACCGACAUAACCUGCCGCCGUGCGAAGAUCGUUGCAGACUACUACUAGGACUACAGACGUUGAGUGAAAGAAGUUUCAUUAAUCAAGAAGUCUUCAUUGGAAAAAUUCUGCGCGGAGACAUAGACUCAGCUGAAAUAUUGGAACGCCUUAACCUUUACGCUCCGGAGAGAAUCAUUCGUCAACGUAAAGCUACAGAAAACUUGAGCCACGCCAUACAGAAUACGGCCUUCAUGAACCAAUCCGCUUCGCAUCUUCUAGUUUCAACGAUGUUUUCCAAUUAUUUGAUUUCAACUGCUCCAGUACUACUUUCCAACGGCGUUUGCAAGCUAGAAACUCAUUUCCGAUGGGAAACAGGUGAGAUUCUGUCCAAUGAUUUUUAUGUUUGUUGACGGUAUUACAUAAUGUUUUUUUUUCUCGAUUGCUGUCGCUGUCAUCCCCGAGCCUCCUGCAAAUGGAUGAAUCCCGAGUACACCUGCAGUACACUAGAUUUAGUUUUUAUAUGUUGACCUACUGUAAUAUUGUUUGUAAAUAAAUGAGGUUUUUUACGCCUAUUUGAGAGAGACGCAUGUUGCUGGUCUGCUCAAAAAGGCUUUUCCUCAUCUUAAAGCUUAAGCAGAUGAAGUUAGUUGAAGAAAAAAUAAAAUAAAACAAAACAAAACAAAACAAAAUUAAAAAAAAUAAAAUAAAAUAAAAAUAAAAUAAAAUAAAAUACUCUUUGGAGCCGACAUGAUAAACCCAACGAACGCAGCCCAUUCAGAAACCCUGGUCACGGCUGCCUACGCCUUCUUGCGGGUGUUGGGGAUGGACGGGCCAGACACGACAAUGACGGUGUCAUCGGCGUUCACGCAAAUUUGGAAGGUACUCGAAGGCACCAUUAGUCAAGAAGAGAAACACGGUAGCUGAAAUUACGAAUGCUUGUGGGACGCCAGUUUCCUCCCUGAAGGACUCCGAAUUCCAGUUCUUUGUUAUGCCUCUAACGAUACGAAUAAAAGAAUGAAACGAAACAGGUUUUAUGGAUUUGGAGAAUGUUACCAGCGCGGCCACAGCUGGCUAGUUUUCGGAGAAUAAAACACGUCCAAGUUCUGUUGAACGCCUUCGAGAUAUCCAAGAGAUUUAUCUCAAUAUGGUGGCCUAUAAGUUCUUAGCUUUUUGAAAAGCUUCUCCUAGGGCAGCAAAGUACGUGUUGGCUUCGUACCCAGGUUGGAAGGCGUGUUUUCGAUGAUCCAGGAAUCUAUGUUUCUGCAGAUACAGGGUGCGGCAGGAAAAAAUGUGUAUAUUUCAAGGCGCUAUCACACGCUGAAUAUGGGAUAUAUAUGUCUAUUUUUUCAUGACAGUGUAUCAGUCAACAUCUAUUUCUAUAUUCUACCACUACAAAAUAUAAAUGAACAUAUUUGGUUUUUAACAUGUGAUAAUGUAAGCCUAAAAUGUUGGUAUCAAUAAACUGCGCGCCCAAAAUUAGCUUCAAUUCGAUGAAAAACCAGGCCAUACUAAUCCAGAGCCAUGUAGUUUCACAUACCAGAUGAAAUAAACACAUGAUAUGAUAUUAUAGAGAAAAUUAAAAAUUAUGUUUUAUCAGAUUUGUAAUUUAGCUACCUGUGUACUUUUCAGUGGUUUGAAAAUUGUGAUUGUCUUCAGCUUCAGGCGCAGUCUUGUAAACAUUUUAAAUUACUUUCAUAAAAUUUGCCUGUUAGAGAUCAUUGAAACAUAGAUUGGUUAACGUCAAAUGGACGACCAUGAGGUUUGAAGUUGAAAAAACUCUUUCGCAUUUUUUCCUGCCGCAUACUAUAAUGUGUUAACAACUGCCACUUGCAAGGCUGAGAUCGCUUGCAAUGGCAACCGGGUCCGUGGUGCAGGUACCAUCCAAGUUGACGGUGGCUGACACAGCAGUACGUUUAACGCUGAGAGCGUUAACUCUCAAGCACCUCUUAAUUUCCAUGAAUUUGGCUGAAAUUUUGACAAGUUACUUUUUUGGGUACCAAUCAGUGCUGUCAUGCUAAAAUCAGAGCUGGUUACUCAACGUUUUCAAAUUUUCGCGCCCCUUUUACUAGUACGCCUCCAAGGAAAUGAUUUCACUAUUGCGUUCAAUUUAGAAUUAUUCUGGGGAAACUACUCCAUGCAUUAUCUUUUUACGAUUUUUUCCGUAACUAUCGUGGAAAGGACAUUAUUAAAAUUUCUAGAAAAAAAAUUAUUACCUCCACAGACUCCGCCAGAAAUUCAUUGAAGAUUCUUUCAGUAUUUAUCAUAAAAUUUAUGGAAUGAUUACAAAAAGAUGAAUAUCGACGAAUGUUUUAGAAUGAUUUUAGCAAAAAUUCCUCUAAAGAUUCCUUAUAGUUUCUUUGAAAUUUUCUCCAGGAAUUCCUCUAGGGAUUUUUUCGGGGAAUUUUCCUUGGGACUUGUUCAGGAGUUUUUUUUAAGGCUCAUGUUGAACCUGGUCCACGGGUUUCCUCAGAAAUUCCUCCUGUGUUUUCUCAAAAAUAUAUAUUGGAUUUUCUUUCAAGGAGUGCUACAUAAAUUCAUGCUUAUGUUUUGUCAUGCUUUUUUUAACAUUUCUGAAGAAAUUCACUAAGAAAUAUUAUCAGAAUUUUUCCAGGAAAUAAAAUUUCUCAAGAAAUUCUAGGAAUUAAUCCAGGAGUUUCUCCAGAAAAACCUCCAAACAUUUCUUAAAAAAAAUGCAAUUGCAGGGAAAUAUUUUCACAAAUUCAAAAAUUCCAUCAGAAUUUCCGCUAGGGUUUUCUUUAAGAAUUCAGAAAUUUAUCAGUUUUUCAGUAAUUGUUGUUUGAUUUUUACCAGAGGUUCCAUAAUGUGUUGAUCCAUUUCACGAAUUUCCUCGGCCAUUUAUUUAGAAACUAAUCCAUAAAAUUCUCAAAAGAUUCAUCUGUAUUUUUUUUUUUCAAUUUCUUUAUUUUCAUGAAUUUUAAAAGAGCUUCUCCAGAGGUUACUUCAAUAGUUUUUUCAGGUAUUCUUCCAGGCAUUGAUUUGGGUUUAUUCAGAACUUUCUUUUGGAUUUAUUUAUGAUAUUUUUUUUUCAAAACUCCUGUAGAAAUUAAUUCCGAUUCUAUUCCUUAGCUUCGCUUCCUCAAAUCCCUUCAGAAAUUGCAUGGGAAAUUUUUCUGAGAAUUCCUUCAGCAGUUCUUCCAAAGAUUCCUACAGAAAAUCUUCCAGGGAUCCCUCACAAACUUAUUAAGGGAUUUCUUCAAUACUACCACCAGUACCUUUGUUUGCGAUUUUUGCAGGCAUGUUUUAAAAGAUUCCUUCAGAAAUUCCUCUAUGGAUUUUUCCAGGAAUUCCUCCAGAAAUUUCUCCAGCAUGUUUUCGUUGGAAUUACUUGCAGAGUUUCUUUAGAAGUUUCUAAUAUUUUUUUUUAUGAAUCAAGAGGCUAUUUUAUGGUACCUAUGUAAUUUUCCUGGGUGUUAUCCCAGGCAUUCUUAUAGGAAUUGUUUCAAGAUUUUCAUGGGAAUCCCUCCAAAAAAAAUUCCUUAAACAAUCGUUCAGUAAUUUUUGUGCAAUUUCUUGAAGAACUUCUGAAAAAAACGCAGGAGGAACAUCCAAACAAAUUUCGCAGGGAUCUCCGCAAUCCGUGUAGGGGUUUGUAAGGAAAUUUAUGAAAUAAUUCCUGAAAAUUUCCAUGGAAGAACUGUUGAACAAAUCCUUUGCUGAAAUUCUUGAAGAAAUACUUAAAAUUCUAAUGAAGUUUCUGGAGGUAAACAUAUUUCCUCAAAGGAAUUUCAGAAGGAAUCCCAGCAGAUAUUUUUGAAAGAAACCCUGAAGGAAUAACUGAAAAAUUCUAAGUAGAGACAUACCUUGAAAAACUUCUCGGGAAAACUUUGGUGGAUUUCCUAGAAAAAUAUUAUUCCUGGCGAAAUACUUUGAUAGGAUUCUUUGUGGAUCUUAUGAAAGUGUUCCUGGACAAAUCCGUGAACGAAUUUCUUAAAAAAAAUCUUUCGAAAUACCUGGUAAAACGCAUAUAUAUAAGCGUCUGCGAAGAGGAAAAAAGCUCUUGAGAUAUUUCCCGAAGAAUUUUUGAAGAAAUUUCUAGAAAAUAUUUUUGAAGAAAUUUCUCAAAGAAUUCGUGGAAAAUUUAUUGAAGUUGUCCUUGGAAGAAAUUCUGGAUAAAUUCGUGUGGUCAUACAAGGAGAAAUAAGUGGAGAAAUUUUCAAGGAAUCUUAGAAUGAACCCCUGCAGGAAUCUCUGAAGGAAUUCCUGCAGGAUUUUCUGGAUGAAUCUCAGAAGAAAUUCCUGGACACUAUAAUGCGAGAAUUUGCUAUGGAAUCCCUAGAGCAAUUCCUGAACAAAUCCCUGCUGGUGUUCCUGAAGAAAUUCCUGAACGAAUUUCUUGAAGAAUACUCGGACAAUUUCUGAUGAAACCACUGGAAGAAUUCAUGGAAGAAUCUCCAAAAAAGUUUCCCGUAGAAAAUUCUAAAGCAAUCCCUGGAGAAAUUACCAAUGAUUUUUUUAAACGAAUCCUUCCAAAAUGUUGAAAGCAAUUACUGUUUAAGUUUCGGUAGGAAAUCUAUCUGAACAGAGUCCUGAAAUUAGAUGAGGGAAUAUCUGAAAGAAGCGCUGAAGAUAUUCAUUAAGCAAACCCUGGAAGAAAUUCUGUAAAAAACCUUGGUAGAUUUUAAGACCGAAUUCCACAAGUAAUUAUGAAAUUUCAGAAGAAAUCCGUGGAUUAAUUUUCGAAAAAAAAACCAUAAAAGCUUUCCUUGGACUUGGAAUUUUUGGACAAAUUUAUGGAUGAAUCUUAUUUGGAAUUUUUGAAGAAUCUCCAUGAAAAUUUCUUGAAGAAUUUCUAAAGAAAUAUUUGUAGGAAUUUCUGAUGACGUCUGUGGAAGAGUUUCGAAAGUAAUCCUUGAACAAAUUUCUGGAGGAGCUUUUAAUUUUCUGUUAGAAUCGCUGAAUGCAAUUUUGAAGGGAUCCAUGGAUGAUUUUUUGAAAGAAAUUUUUUACGAAUUCCUGCAAAAAGCUAUCGGAAAACUAUGAUAACUUCUCUAGAGUAAUUUUUAGAUACAGGGAUCCUGUAACGACAAUUUUGAAGGAAACUCCAGACUCUCCGAAAGAAAUGGAGAGUUUUCUGAAGAAAUCUAUGGAGCACUUUCGGAAGGAAUCCAGGAAAGUUUUUAUGAAAAAAAGUUCCACAAUUAAUUUCCGCUAUGAAUUGAACAGAUAGCGUUACCGUAGCGUUGUGUGUUUGACAUUACUUCUCUGUCACGUAGUGUGAAGGGGGGGGGGGCAACGCAAGUUCCGAUUUGUCCAACUCUGGAGAGCUUCGCCCUUUACCCAACUACGUCUAAAGUUGGUGCCUAUGAGAGGGCGCCAAGCUCGUACCCAAGGAAGGGGUUUUGGGUAAUAAACCCCUCCCAAUACCCAUGUUCAAUAUAUUAAGCGCCGCUCUACAUUUUAAUGAAAAUACACCAUUUAUGUACACGAGCCUGGACAGGGCGCAAAACUAUCGAAAUAAUUACCUAGGAUUUUUUCAUAUAUCCAGUAGGGUGGAAACAAUUCUUAAUUUCACUAAGAAGCUAUUUUGUAACAUGUUUUUCUUAUUUUAGCCAGAACGCUCAUACUGGGAGUUGAAGAAAUUUUUUUUUUUUGCUUCAAGAGCUGGUUACUCAGUGAGUAACUUGGAGUAACCACGAUGACACCACUGAUACCAAUCAAAAUAUGGGGGUUUACUUGAGAAUCAGAGAGCAUUUUUAAAAAGUGGAAAGGCCUAAUACCUACUUUAUGAUUGAUCUUUAAGAGCUCAGUACGGUUAUGGAAUAUGUAGCCCAGUCUUCCUUUAAAAUUGCGUCCCGAGCAGAAGGAAAUAAUAACAGCAUAAGAAAAUGCGUUAUUUUGGAGAAAAAACUGACAAAUAGAAUCAGUUAUUUUAUGAUGCUAUAAACUUGUCUGUUAUAAGUGGCAAAAUAACAAAUAUCAUAACAAACAUUUUUGGAAAUUAUGAGUUAUGGAUAAUAAUCUGACAGCAAAAUUUGUUAUGAUAUCAAACUCAUAACUAAAGUAAGAUGUAAUACAAUGUAAAUAUCAACAUUGAUAACAUAUCCAUAACAUUGUUAGUUAUUAUAUAAAAGCAUGUUCUUUGUUUCACAAACUCGCCAGUUUUUAUUCAUUCUAAGAGAUUUUAAAUGGGUACAGUACAACGCGAAGUAUUUAAAUUUAAGAAAUUUCCUUAUUUUUAAACCAUAAAAACUUUGAUUUGCUGCUGUAAUUUAGAACCUGUUCUACUUUAAUUGUUUUUGGAGUUUCGGUUUCGAAAUCAGCUCGUAAUUAUGCAUGAAAAAUUGUGGUCGUUGGUAGCAGUUCAUGAUUUUCGUUUAAUUUUAUUUUGUUUUUUUUUUCAGCACUGAAACUGAAUAUUUUCGAGAAUGUUUGCACCUGUCAAAUUUUGCAUAGCAUUUUUGAUAUAUUGAAAACAUUAAACAGAUUAUUACAAUUACAAGGAUUUUUCCCAUUGCUCAAGAAAAGCGUCGACAAUAGCUUCAGCAAGGAUUCCUCAAAAAUCUUUACUAGAAUUUCUCCUGAACUUCAUCUGAUGCCAAAUUUGAUACCAAAUUCAUCGUUAGAUUGCUUAACGGGUUACAUAUGUUGAGGUCGAGCACAAAAUCGAUUUUUUUUAUUCUUUUAUCUUAAAAUAUGGGUUCUUAAGAAUGCUGUGUCAAAUUUUCAUAGAGAUCCAAGCAGUAGAAGCAAAGAUAUAGCGUUUUGCGCCUUGCUCCCUGACGGGCGCGUAGUGCAUACUUGGAACUUUAAACGCGAUUAUCUCGGAAGUAUGUUUUCCAAAAACGUCAAUGUGGUGACUACGAUUGUGGAUUGAGUUCUCAACCGAUUUCAACCAAUUUUUUUUGGGUGUUCGCUAUUCAUAUGUCGUGUCCUUGAACGUUCGGAAUAUUAAAAAAUGUUUUUAGUUUCCAAACGAGGACGAUUUUUUCCAAAAAACUCAUUUUUUUCAUGCAAAAAAUGUAUGAAAAAAAUCAUACCUUCUAUUAAGAAAUCAUAGGAAUUCCGCCUAUUUAGAAAUCCUAGAAAUUCCUGUGCUCAUUUUUCCAGAAAUCUGUGUUUAGAUUUCUCUGAACAUUUCUUCAUGGAUAUCACCAGGAAGCAUUAUCAAGAAUUUUUCAGAAGAUUCUUCCAAAAAUUCAGUAAAUUGCUCAGAGAAUUUCUCGUAAAAUUUCUUCGAGGAUUUCUCCGAAGAGCUCUUUUGAAGGUUUUUCGAAGAAUUCAUCCGAGAAUUUCCUCAGAACUUCCAGGUGUUUUUUCCCGAAAAUUACUUAAGACAUUCUUCAGAGGUUCCAUUCAAAAAUGUGCUUCAUAGCCGAAUAUGAAAUUGGAGCCGAAAACACGUAAUAAUAAUAAGUUAGGUUGCAAUGCCAGGAAGAGUAUGAAAAGGAAUGGAGCGAACCUGGUGUGAUUGUUAAAACACGUGACUCUCACGCCGACGGCCUGGGAUUGAAUCCCAUUCCCGGCAAACUCGCAUAGUGUGAAGAACUCUACUUCGGAAGGGAAGUAGAGCGUGGAAAGGAAAGAACUGACCCCAUCACGGAGAACAACGUAAUUCUCGAAUGAUGUAGUUUUGAUUUGAAACUCACUUUUCUCUCAAUAUUACAGUAAUACCAAAAUUUGUAUUUCAAACACACAGCAAAAUGUUUCCCUUCCUUCGAACAUUGUCUGUUAUUUCAAGUAGAAAUAUUGGCACUAGACCAUGCCUUUUUUGAUGAGUGAGAAAGACCGCAAUGUAAAAAAAUGGCCAUAUGCCUCCAUUCUAUGGGACAGUUGCACUCUGUAUUGAAAUAUGUAUAUUUUUGCUCGAAUUCACCUUAUGUCAAAAAAGUAAUGAAAGGCGAAAAGAAUUGAGAAAAUGCGAAAAAGGAAAUUCUUGAACCCACCUGCCCAUACCCUUUACUCAAAUUAUAUACAGGGUGUUAGGUUCCUGAGUGCAAACUUUUUAAAGGGUGAUAGAGGACCAUAAAUGAUGAAAAAAAAUUGUUCUACGCAUAUGGUCAAAUCUCAACCUUUACGUAGUUAUUGAACUCCCCAUAUUUUUAACUCCUAUUGUUUUAACUGGCUAUAACUUUAAAAUGGUCAAACUUAUCGCAGUUUUUUUUACCCUUGUUCGAAAGAUCAUUGAAUUUUCUAUCAAAUGGCAUCUUUGAACCGAUUGGUUUAGUUUAAUAACUAAGUUUUCUAGAGCAAAUAGCCUAAAAGUUGUGUGUUUUAAUUUGUUUUUGUCAACUACCUUUGAAAAAUGCGUAAUAAAUUAAAAUUCUUUCUUUGGCAAAGUUGUGGACCCUGUUCCACUCUACAAUUCGUUCUUUGACAUCAAACUUCUAACUCUUAUCGUUUUGUUGCAAUUUUGAUUUAAACGUCGCAUUUCAGAUCAUAAAUUUUCAAUCGUCAUGGUAAGCACUUUUUUGCGCACUGUGCCGCACAUUUAAAUCAAAAUUGCAAGAAAACGAUGAGAGUUAGAAGUUUGAUGUCAAAGAACGAAUUGUAGAGUGGAACAGGGGCCACAACUUUGCCAAAGAAAGAAUUUUAAUUUAUUACGCAUGUUUCAAAGAUAAUUGACAUAAACAAAUAAAAACACACUAUUUUUAGCAAUUUUGCUGUAGAAAACUUAGUUAUUGAACUAAACCAAUCGGUUCAAAGAUGCCAUUUGAUAGAAAAUUCAAUAAUCUUUCGAAUAAGGGUAAAGAAACUGCUAUAAGUUAGACCAUUUUAAAGUUAUAGCCAGUUAAGACAAUAGGAGUUAAAAACAUGGGGAGUUCAAUAACUACGUAACGGUUGAGAUUUGACCAUGUGCGUAGAACAUUUUUUUUCACCAUUUAUGGUCCUCUAUCACCCUUCAAAAAGUUUGCACUCAGGAACCUAACACCCUGUAUAUGUACAAUGCAUCAUCAAUCUAAAUUAUAAUCAUAAAAGUUAUAAAAGUGUAGAGUCAUCUAAACAAUAUUUUGAGCUGAAAACUUGAAAAUUUAACGUACGUUUUGGGAUUCAAAUCUUCAAAGCUCCACUCAAAUUUGCAUUGUGCUAGUCCAAAUUUUCGUUAAGAUUGCUUUUAUACCAAGUGUUGAAGACUAAGAUUUUUCAUAUAGCAUGGGCAUCAGAUGGCAGUGCACAUCGCCUCGCAACAUAAUUAUGCCCUCUCACUACCACAGCAACCUUGACCGCAGCCUCGAUCGAGCUCGCAUAGGGCAGUUCAAAUUCAAGGGAGGUCCGGUCGCUUCCAUCUGCAUUAUGUGCUGGGUAGGUCUAUAGGUAUCUCUCGUAAAGCUGCAAGCCAAUCAUCAUAUAAUCAAGCGAUGCCGGGCCCAUGCUGAAGCUGAACCAUAAUGUACGCAACUUUUUUUUUGCUGCACACGUGCUUCCAUUUCGAAUUGAGUACGCAUAGACUGCGUGCGACGCGAGAUGAGACGCACAGCGCGGUUGAGAAGCGCUCGUGCGUCUCUGUUCAUGCGUUCUGGUCCAAUGGUCACCAGUGCUGGUCGUUGUCGUCGUCGUCGUCGUCCGCUGAUUUCUGGGUCGCGUUCUCAAGCAGUAUGCAAAUAAAAAAUAUACGUGGUGCACACACGCUGAUGCCCCAUACUCACCUGAAAAGAUGGUGCAUAGGGGAACAAAGUCCAAAAUGCCAAGAUGGGGUGAAAUGGCCCAACUUAUAAAAUCAUUCCUGAAUGUGAUUUGAUCAUUACAAUAGGCGAAUGGUGUCAAGAUACAGGAGAUAGACAAAAUGAUCGGGACGGGCAAAAUUUUUACUUUUCAAAAAAUGUUCAACUAGCUGUAACUUUUCGAAACGCGCGUCAAAUAUUCUCAAAUUUUCACUGUAAGUUGGUCAACUAGUUGUGUAUCAGUGGACAAAAUUUGGAUAAGAUCGAGCUAUUCUGCAGGAAGUUAUAAAUAUUCUAGAAAAAGGUAUAAUUAUCCGAUAGCCAACAUUAAGCUAUUAUUUCUCAGAAUUCAAUGAAGCGAAUGCAAUGAAAUUUCAACUAUUUAUGACUUAUUUAAUGAGCUUUGAAAAACUUUUGACACAACUUAAAAUUAUUGACACGGAAGAAAAUUAUUACGAUUAGUUUAUUUUUCUAAUAAAACACAUUUUUUUUUUAAACUUCAACAUCGUUUCAAAAUUUAAGAUGCUAAUUAUAGUUCAUUUAAAUUCCCUCUAGUUGUAUUGAAUAUAAAUAUGUUUUGAUGGAAAGUAACAUCAUCGCCUUCAAUUGAUAGAAAAAGUAUUGGGAUGCAUAUUUAAAAAAGAUCAAUUUACUAAAAAAAAAUAAAAUAAAUAAAAUCGCUAUAACUUUUUCACUUGUUAAUAAUUUAAAGUUGUGUCAAACGUUUCUCAAAGCUCAUUAUAUAAGUCAUAAAUGGUAAAAAUUUCAUUGCAUUCGGAACAUUGAAUCCGGAGAUAUAACAGCUCAAAUUUGGCUAUCGAAUAAUUCUCGCGCUCAGUAUCAUACGGGCGUAUCUACAAUGAUCGAUUUCUCUUCAUCGAUUUUCUCUUCGGUUAAUAACUUGGCCUUCAAAUCAUUUUUGGUUGCUUUUGUUGUUUUAGAUGCUAGUCCUAGUCGUCCUUCACCGAAAUGCACCGAGAAAUCAUCCGAGUAUCGGUCGUAUUUUCUGGAAUAAUCCGAAGAGAAAAUCGACGAAGAGAAAUCGAUCAUUGUAGAUACGCCUGUAUGAUACUAAACGCGAGAAUUAUACCUUUUUCUAGAAUUUUUAUAACUUCGUGUAGAAUAGUCCGAUCUUUUUCAAAUUUUGUCCACUGAUACACAACUAGUUGAUCAACUUACAGUGAAAAUUUGAGAAUAAUUGAUGCAUUUUUCGAAAAGUGGCAGCUAGCUGAACAUUUUUUGAAAAGUGAAAAUUUUGCCUGUCCCGAUCAUUUUGUCUUUCCCCUGUAUGUCUGCAUAAAACAUUCUUCUAGAAGCUAGGCCGCUAACCCCACGGAAAAACUUUUGGUUUUCCAAUAAAAAUUGGCAACUUUCGGAUUUUCGUGCUCUCAAUUCAGGUUUUCUUGUGAUUUUAUUACCAGCCAUGUGUUUCCAAAGAGAUUGAGAAACACAUGGAGGCGCAUGGUUCUUGAUGUCUACGCUAUUCAUGUUAAGGUUCAUUCAAAUAUGACGACCAUCGUUUAGUAGGAAGGGGGUGAUACUCCAUGUAUUGAGUAUACGAAAAAAAAACGGGACAGAAGGGGGAAAGGGUGUCGGACAUGCCCGAAAAAUGAUGGACGUAAUUUUUGAAUGUUUUCAUGAAGUGGCAUCUUACCCCAUGACAUGGUCUUUUGGCACCACUUUCGAUUUACGAACCAACAUUUAAAAUCGCUAAAAACCAAUGAAAUGGCAGUGGGUAGUUUCGUGAAUAGUUCUGCACAAGUAUCAAGUAAAUAAAAUCUAGUUACUGUAAUCACUUUAAAUGCCUAACAAAGGCGGCUAUUUAUCAUUGAAAACGAUGAAAGCUUGAAAAAUGGCAUCUUAUCCCACUUACCCCUACAUUGAUUAUUUUUUUCCUAUUCUAAGUGCACUUGCUACCUACCUAGUAACAAUCGCGCUCCGACGGACAAAGGCCAAUCAUCCGUUCGGCUGUUUUUGUUUUAGACUGUUUUUUUUUUGUCGCUCGAUGAGGUGAACACCUACCGACUAACGCUAGAUGUGUUUGGUGUGUUUGUUCAACAAAGAACCGCAACGGUGUGAAACUUUCCGUUUCGUGUUUGAAAAUAAAAAUGCAAAUGACAAAAAUGACCGGCAAAAGACUGUCGGACUUUGGCCUCUCGCGGACCGCGAGUCGCGGUGUGGACUGUGUUGGCGGGAAGUCCGAUUUUUUUUUAUGAGAACUUCCACAGAUACCAACUGAAAGCGCGAACUGAAACCGGAGUUGACGUUGAUUGUGAGACCAAUUCUUGCUGACUCCCUUUUGAAGGACAGGCCUGUUCUUCAGCUGUAGGUCAGAGUUAGGCCUGAAGUACAUAGGGUCAAAUAUUUGACGAGGAAAGAACUCAAGAAACAGCAUCAGUUUGACACUAAUGAAAAUUCGAUCGAGUCAAUCAAGAUGUUUGAGUAUUGGUUUCUUUUUUGAAAAAUAUUUGACCCUGUGUACUACAGUGUAUCAAACAAUUGUCCGUACAGCAAUUUUUUGGUCAAAAUUAUUUUACAUUCAAUUGAUCAUAACUUUUUUAUACAUCAUUCAAAUACGCUGAAAUGUUGAUCAAUAAUGCACCAUAUAUCAAAACUCCAUUGGUAAAGUUUUGAGUGAGAUCGAAUAAGUUUUCUGAAAGUUAUAGAACUUUUAGUAAAACUUAUAAAACUUUUGAACACAUUUUUAAAGCAUUAUAUCUCAAUAUGUACUCGAUGAAACUUUUUCAAUUUUUUUUGUGAUACAUCUUAUACCUAAGGCUUUCAUAUGCAGCUUCGUUUGAGGUUUUAUAUUCACUACAACAAAAAUGAAAAAUCUGUAUAUGUUCAGAGUGUCAUUAGGAAAUUUAUCAUAUUUUGAUCAAUAAAAGUGCCAAGUGUUUUCAACGUUUUUAAAUUCUUUUAAUGUAAUAUUUUUAUACAGGACCUACUAAACUACAAAAAAAGAAAAGGUCCUAUGUAUUUUUCAUUCAGUUAAUGCACUUUUAUUGGCGGAAAACGUUUGGCAGAUUAUAUGUGCAAAAUAUGAUAAAUUUUUAAACAUCGUCAACUACAUAAACACAUUUUUCAUAUUUUUUGUAGUGAAUAUAAAACCUCAAAAGUAGCUGCAUAUGAAAGCCUCAGUUAUCAGUUGUAACACAAAAAAAAAUUGGAAAAGUUUCAUCGAGUACAUACUGAGAUAUAAUGUUUUAAAAAUGUGUUCAAAAAUAUUAUAAGUUUUUCUAAAAGUUCUACGACUUUUAGAAAACUUAUUCGAUCUCGCUCAAAAUCUUACCAAUGGUAUGUUAAUAUAUGAUUCAUGAUUGGUCAAAAUUUCAGCGUUUUUGAUUAACGUAUAUAAAAAAUAUGAACAUUUGAAUGAAAAAUUAUUUUGGCGAAAAAAUUGCUGUACGGACAAUUGUUUGAUACUCUGUAACAGCUUUAUCCGGUAUCGUCCGACAAAACCUAGGAGGAUGUGACCGUUCGAUGUUGGUAUCGCUUUUUCGUAAUUGGGUUCUUUAGGGGUAUCCUGAUUAUUGCAUAAUCGGAAUCUCCGUCCAAAAAUUAGUCGAAAUUCAAAAUUUCAUCAUUUUCGGUGCCCGGGAACUAUUUUUAAAAUGCAUUUAAAGUUUGUAUGGGGAAAAUUUUUUGUUCGGGGCGAACUGUCACUUUAUCGAUUGAACUGUCAUUCUAGCCACGGAAAUUUAAACUGUUUUGUUUAUUUAACCAUCAAAACAAAUGAAUCGGGACGCAAUAAAAUCACCUUAUACUCAGAAAAAUGAGCUCUUUCGAUUAAGCUAAAGAAAAUGGCAAUAUUUAAUUACUAAACAACCCAAUUCAACUCUCCUAGUCAGUGCUGUCAGCACCCCCUGUACUGGUACGCCCCCAAGGAAAUGACUUCACUAUUACGCCUAAUUAUGAAAUAUUCCGACCAUAGAAAACCCUUCCAUGCAUUAUUAUUUCACGAUUUGUUUCUGUAUUUAUCGCGGAAGAUAAUUUUGCAAGAACUCUGCCUAAAAUUUCUAUAAAAUUCUCCAGAAUUACCUUCACGAACACCACCAGAAAUUCCUUCCGGGAUUCUAUGAAGAUUUAUCAAAAACUGCAUCGAAUGUUUACAGAAAGAAGUUUUUCGCAGGAUUUCUUCGAAUGUUUUUUUAAGCAAGAAUCCCUCUAAAGAUUCGUCUUGGUAUCGCAUCAAAAUGCAUCCUUGUCCAUGGAUUUCUUUGGAAAUGUUGCCAGGGAUUCCUCCAGAUAUUCUUUAAAGAAGUCCCACUAGAAUUUUCCUUGGCACUUGUUCAGCAGUUUUUCAAGAAAGUUUUCAAAAGGUAAAUCUUGAAACUGGUCCGCGGGAUUCCCAAGAAAUUAUUUCUAAAAUUCCUCCUGGGAUUCCUUAGAGGCUUCUAGGAAAUUCAUUCAAGGAUUGCUAGAUAAGUUAAUGAUUGUAUUCUUUCCUGUAUUUCUUUGAACAUUGCUGAGAGAAUUCCUCCAGAAAUGUUGUCAGAAUUUUCUGUGGGAUUUCUAUGAAAAUUCUUCUAGAAAUUUAUCAAGAAAUUCUUCUAGGAAUUUAUCAAGGGGUUUCUCGAGGAAUUACUUAAAUCGUUUUUUCAAGAGAUGUAAUUCUAGGAAAAUUGUUUUUAUUUAGAUUUAGAAGGAAAUUCUUACAGAUAUUCCUCUUGGGUUUUUUUAGAAAUUCAGACUUUUUUCCAGAACUUUUUUUUUCAAUGUCUUCAGAGGAUCUUUCAGGCUUCACUUCAUUUAUUCAGGGAUUUGUUCGGGCAUUUAUUUGGAAAUUCCUCUAGAAAUUACUCAAGAGAUACUUUUGGAAGUUCCUCCGGGGGUUUCUCCGGAAGUUCCUUUAGGUAUUCCUCUAGGCAUUGCUUUGGAUUUAUUCAGAUCUUUCCUUCAGGGAUUCUAUCAGUUUUGUUUUCCAAAGGUUCUCUCAGCAAUUCCUGCAAAAAAUAUUCCAUAAUCUAAUAGGGUGACAAAGGGUUUGUUCUCUUCGUCAUGAGGGUUUUUUUUUUGUUGGCCAAAUUGGUUGAAACUUGGUCUAUCAUUCAGCUUGAUUGGGAAAGAUUUGAGGCCAAUUUUGAGUUAAAUAGGUUUAAAAAACCCCCCAUGACGAAGAGAACAAAACAACCGAAAAUACGUAAGUUCCCCUAUCUCCGUCUGCUAUGAAAUAGAAUUUUCCAUGAAAUUUUUCAAGAAAUGUUUCUAUAAAUACCUGCGCAGAGGGUAAUCCAGUUCUUCCAAGUAUUAUUUCAAAGAUUCAUUCAUAUUUUUUAACUCCUUUAGAAUAUUUUCAUUGUUUCUUUAGGAUUUUCUUCAGAAAUUUCUCCAGGUAGUAAAUUGGGAAGUUUUGUGAGAAUUCCUUCCAGGAGUUCUUUCGAGGAUUUCUUCAGACAACCCUCCAGGGAUCCCUCAGAAAUUUAUUGAAGGAUUUAUUCAGGAAUUCCUUUGUCCGGGAUUUCUGCAGACAUUUGUUCAAGAGAUUCCAUCAAAAUUUUCUCUACCUGGAAUCUCUCCAAGGGUUUCUCAGGCAUUUUUCUUGGAAUUUCUUGCAUAGUUCCUCUAUAAGCCUUGAAUGAUUUUAUUUCGAGGGAAAAAAGAUGGCAUCUUAAGGUAUUUGUUCAGAAAUUCUCCUGGGUAUUAUCCCAGGCAUUCAUUCAAGAAUUGCUUCCAAGAUAACUUCAGAUAUUGCUUCAGGAAAAUUUUCGAGGAAUUUCUCCAAAACAAAAAAGCGAAAGAUUUUUUUUAAAGGAGUUUCCAAAGGUAUCGCCAGAAUUCACUGAAACAAUUUCUCAUAGAAUUCCUGGAGAAACCCUAGGAACAAUUUCUAAAGCAAUGCCUGUAGGAUUCGUAUAGACAUGUUAAGAAGAAUUUCUGAAAAUCUCUUUGGAAGAACUUCUGAAAAAAAUCCUUGCUGAAAUUCCCGAAGAAAUUAUUGGCGGAUUGUCUGAUAGUAUUCUUGGAUAAAUCUGAAAUCUGAUCCCAAGAAAAAAAAAUUGAAAUAUUGUAAAGAAAUUGUAUCUUAGGAAAUAUUUUUGAAUAAAUUCCUGACCUCAGAGGAAAUACCAGAUAAAUUUCAUAGAGGAAUAUCUGAAGGAAACCCCGAGUGAAUCUCUGGAGCAAUUCCUGCCUGAAUCACUUAAAAGAAUAAUGCAAGAAUCUCUGGAUGAAUUUCUGAAGGAUUUUCUGGAUAAAUUCCAGAAAAUAUAUCUGGACACAUUCAUGUGGGAAUUUUCAAUGAAAUCCCUAGAAAAAUUCUCUGAUGAAAUUUCUGAAGAAAUACCUGGACGAAUUUCUGAAGGAAUGUCUGGAAAAUAUUCUGAAGAAAGCAAUGGAAGAAUUUAUUGUAGAAUAUUUGAACGAAUUUAUAAAGAAACCCCCGCAUAAAAUUCUAAAAGAAUCCCUGGAGAAAUUUUCGAUGAUUUUUUUUAACGAAUUUAUGGAAGAAUUUCUAAAGUAAUUACUGGUGGACUCUCAGAAGGAACCCAUAGAAAUCCAACAAAAAGAAUUCUUGAAGAGGGAAUAUCUGAAGGAUGCCCAGGAGAUUUUUUUAAGAAUCCCAUAGGGAAUUUCUAUAACAAUAGCCGGAGGAGUUUCAGUUAGAAACCUUGGUAGCUUAAGAAUGAAUUCCUGGAGUUUUGAAAGAAAUUUUUAGAAGAUUUCUGGUAUCUUUGGAAAAAUUCAUGGAGAAAUCUCAUAUGGAAUUUUUGAAAGAAUCCCUAGAAAAAUUUCUUGAAGAUUCCCUGAAAGAAUUUUUGAAGGAACCUCUGUAAUAAUUUAUGAAGGAGUCUAUGGAAGAUUUCUUUAGGAAAUCCUGAAAUCCUUUGAUUUUUUUUGAAGAAUCGUUAAAUGUAUUUCUGAAGGAAUCCAUGGAUGAUUUCCUGAAAGCGUUCGUACGAAUUUCUGAAAAAAUCUUUGGAAGUUUUUUAAGGAAACCCAUGGAAGCUUCCCAGAGGAAUUUUUGGAUAGAUUUCUGUAGGAUCCUCUGACGAAAAUUCCGAAGGAAGUGUUCUAAAGAGCUUCAAAGGAAGGUUUUAUAAAGAGUUUUCUAAAUUAUUUUCCGGGGUUAUCUCUAGAAAACUAUUGAAAAAAAUUCUAAAGGAAGUUAUGAAUAUUAUGAAGGAAGCAUUGGAAGAGUUCCAGAAGAAUUGCACAGAGAAAUCUACGAAGGCAUUUAUGGCAGAAUUUCUUUGAAAUUCCCUGAAAGAUUUGCUAAAGGAAUUGCUGGCUAAAUUUCUGAAAUUAUGAGUAACUAAAGAAAUCCUUGGACGAACUUUCUGAAUGAAACUAUGAUAGAUUUUUCAAAAAGCCCGUAGAGGAAUUUCAAGAGGAAAUUUUGAAGUAUACAUGAAUAAAUUUCAGAAGAAAUCUCGUGACGAAUUUCUGAAAAAUCCUGAGAGAAAGUUAUAAAUUUCAUUUAUUUGUAAGGAUUUCUGAAAAAAAUCCAUGGAAGAAGUCCUAACAUCACAAAGUUUCCUUGCACGUGUGAGGGGCCCAAAAAAAUUAGAAAACUCACAAAGAUAAGUUAUUUGUUCUACAUCAGGGGCGCUAAAGGUUGAAAUAUUCAUAAAGGUAAUUUUUAUAAAUUUGUGAGUGUGCAAACAUAUGAAAAACCACAAAGGAGAUUUUCUUAUAUUUGGGAUAGCGGAAGAAAAAUAUUCAAUAUAUUUAUGAUAUAUUUAGGAUGCGAAAGAGUACAUUCCAAUAUCAUAAAUGAGACUUGUUUACAUAUCUAUGGGUGCAAAAAAUUGUAAAUCCAGUAGGGCGGAAUCAAUUCCUAAUUUCACUGAGAACCUUUUUUCGUACAUGUAAAGUUCUAAUAUCACAGAGGAAGCACAAUAAAAAUAAAUGUCAUCGACCAAAAGUUUGGAGUCACCCCUCAAAAUGAUGUAUCGGCCAAAAGUUUGGGGUCACUAUCGUAAAAUAUGGAAAAGUGAUUUGUUGAUAUCAUUGUCAUCUUUCAUUCAAUUUUAAUUCUUCUUGGCGUAUAUGCAUUAUGUUACUUACUGCAUAGACAAUGAGUCACACAUAUUUGUUAAAAUUUACAUACUAAAACUUAACGUAAAAUUGUCUCAUUUUUUGAAAAAUGGUAAAAUGCGUUACCUUUACAUAACAUUUUUAUAUACAAAAAUCGUUGAAUACGUCAAAUUAAAGACUUUAAACGUAAAUUUAGUUAUCUUUGAAAUGAGCCAAAAAAAAAAAUUAAAAUUGAACUAGUGAUGACGAAGAUAUUAGCAAAACACUUUUCCAUGUUUUACGAAAGUGACCCCAAACUUUUGACUGGUACAUCAUACAGUGACCAGGCACAAAAAAAAAAGAUCCACCGUGUAGUGGUUACAGUUUCUAAGGAAAACUACAAGCAAAA